AGAAUAAUAAAACACUUAAAACAUAUGAUAACAUGAAAUGCAUCACAUCACAGCUAAUCACAUCAAGGAUGAACUUGUCACCAAUAGCCCUCUACAUGGUCCAACUGUGCCAGAACGUAGAAUGGGUCCUGGUCUUUCCCUUACAUAUCAUAACAUAACAGUGUCUAACUGUGCCAGAAUGUAGAAUGGGUCCUGGUCUUUCCCUUACAUAGUGCCAGCGAACGUAGAAUGGGUCCCACUGGUCUUACUUUCCGUACCGUACAUAUCAUAUCGUCAUAUCAUAGAUCGAGGGCUAUGGAUCAUUCAACAUUC
rnacentral:lncRNA from 1 species